rnacentral:rRNA from 1 species
GAUGAACGCUGGCGGCGUGCCUAAUACAUGCAAGUCGAGCGAACGGACGAGAAGCUUGCUUCUCUGAUGUUAUCGGCGGACGGGUGAGUAACUUGUGUAUAACCUACCUAUAAGACUGGGAUAACUUCGGGAAACCGGAGCUAAUACCGGAUAAUAUUUUGAACCGCAUGGUUCAAUAGUGAAAUACGGUCUUGCUGUCACUUAUAGAUUGAUCCGCGCUGCAUUAGCUAGUUGGUAAGGUAACGGCUUACCAAGGCAACGAUGCAUAGGCGACCUGAGCGGGUGAUUCCAUAGACUGUAACUGAGGCACGGUCCAGACUCCUACGGGAGGAAGCAGUAGGGACUCUUCCGCAAUGGACGAAAGCCUGACGGAGCAACACCGCGGGAGUGAUGAAGGUCUUAGGAUCGUAAAACUCUGUUAUUAGGGAAGAACAUAUGUGUAAGUAACUGUGCACAUAUUGACGGUACCUAAUCAGAAAGCCACGGCUAACUACGUG